GAUGAACGCUGACAGAAUGCUUAACACAUGCAGUCAACUUGACUUCGGUUUGGGUGGCGGACGGGUGAGUAACGCGUAAAGAACUUGCCUCACAGAUAGGGACAACAUUUGGAAACGAAUGCUAAUACCUGAUAUUAUGAUUUUAGGGCAUCCUAGGAUUAUGAAAGCUAUAUGCGCUGUGAGAGAGCUUUGCGUCCCAUUAGCUAGUUGGAGAGGUAACGGCUCACCAAGGCGAUGAUGGGUAGCCGGCCUGAGAGGGUGAUCGGCCACAAGGGGACUGAGACACGGCCCUUACUCCUACGGGAGGCAGCAGUGGGGAAUAUUGGGCAAUGGACCAAGAGUCUGAUCCAGCAAUUCUGUGUGCACGAUGAAGUUUUUCGGAAUGUAAAGUGCUUUCAGUUGGGAAGAAAAAAAUGACGGUACCAACAGAAGAAGUGACGGCUAAAUACGUGCCAGCAGCCGCGGUAAUACGUAUGUCACAAGCGUUAUCCGGAUUUAUUGGGCGUAAAGCGCGUCUAGGUGGUUAUGUAAGUCUGAUGUGAAAAUGCAGGGCUCAACUCUGUAUUGCGUUGGAAACUGUGUAACUAGAGUACUGGAGAGGUAAGCGGAACUACAAGUGUAGAGGUGAAAUUCGUAGAUAUUUGUAGGAAUGCCGAUGGGGAAGCCAGCUUACUGGACAGAUACUGACGCUGAAGCGCGAAAGCUGGGCAGCAAACAGGAUUAGAUACCCUGGUAGUCCAAGGGCGAAUUCACGUGGAUAUCAAGCUUAUCGAUGCCGUCGACUCGAGGGGGGCCCUGUACCUAAU
rnacentral:rRNA from 1 species